GUUUGAUUUUACAGUUAAGUUUAUAAUGUGGUCGAUGGCUUGCAAGAAAUAGUUAGUUAUUACCUCCAUGACAUUUCUUUUCUAGAAAUUUAUUUCAAAUAUGAAGAUGAUGAUAGCGGUCCUCAGAUCAGACAAGCAAUCUUUCAGAUAAUCUUAGAAUGAUAAGUAUUGUAUAAAUGUCCAAGUUCUUCAUCUUUACAAUUGGUAAAGCAAUGGUAAUUUAACUAUCUAAAAUAUAAUAGAAAAGAAACCGAACAUGAGAGUCGAAAAGAAGUUCUUAAGCAUAAAAGCCUAGGAAAAGAACUCUGACCUGCAUUGAGAAGUUGAAAGUCAUGAACUCAGUGAUAGGCCUCAGAACACAGUAAGCUAAACCAAUGCCAAUUCCAGCAAAUCCAGCCUAUAACAUUCUUCAAUGGUUAAAGGAGUAGAAAUUUCCAGUUCAACUUAGAAAAUUAUAUAAGAUCACAAAAAGCAACCUGAGUAAUGGGUGUAUCGAGAACCCUUUCAGAGUUGUACUUCUCCAAAAUUAUAUAAGAUCACAA
rnacentral:lncRNA from 1 species